rnacentral:lncRNA from 1 species
GUUAAAGUUUUAUUGAAGUAUAGCAUAUUUACGGAGGUUGUGAUGAUUUCUGCUGUACAACAAUUUACCUGCUCAUUUUCUAUGCAUGCUUCUAUGAUUUUGAAGGGAUUUUCAAUGUCUCAUUCUUGCAGCACGUUUUAUUUAAAGAAACUAACCACACUUUGCUCCUGAACAGGUGGAGAGAUUCAAUCUCUCAGGGAGCCGUAAGUGAUGCCUUAGUAUAUCAGUUGGGUCUGUGAAACACUGAGCACAAGAAAUCAUUUUCUGGCUGCCUCAAACCAUUUUUUGAAGAUCUGAUUGCUACCUCCAGAACUUUGCCAAUGAGUUCAUGUGUGAACUUUUUUAGGGUCACAAGCACUGUGCAUUCCAUAAACAAAAGUAGUUACAUAAACAAUAACAAUGGAAAGAAGGCAGAAUAGAGGUGGUCAGAAGACACAUAAUGAGAAGAAAAGGAAAACAAAAAGAGCUGAGAAAAACCAUAGUUGUCCAUUUGGUACUGCUUAGGGGAAUACCUUUUAUUUAUUUUUAUUCUUUUCUACUAUAGCUAAUCACAGAUAUUAAAUACAGUUCCCCGUGCUAUUCAUGAGAACCUUGUUUAUCCACCCUAUAUAAACUAGUUCGCAUCUGCUGACCCCAAACUCCCAAUCCAUCCUUCUUCCCUCCCCCUCGCCUUCCUGGUAACCAUAAAUCUGUUCUCUAUGUCUGUGGGUCUGUUCCGUCAAUAAGUCUAUAUGGAAUAAUAGAUUCCAUACAUAAGUGAUAUCAUACGGUAUGCGUUUCUCUUUCUGAUUUACUUCAUUAGUAUGAUAACCUUUAGUUGCAUAUAUGUUUCCCUGCUGAUGAACAUUUAGGUUGCUUCCAUGUCUUGGCUAUUGUAAAUAUUGCUGCAAUGGAGAGAGAGGGGUGCCUGGAACUUUCUGAAUUACAGUUUUGAAUGGAUACAUUCCAGGAGUGGGAUUGCUGGAUAAUACUGUAGUUCUGCAUUUAGUUUUCUGAAGAAUCUCCAUAUUGCUUCCCAUAGUGGUUUCAGAAGUUUAUAAAAAAUUCCUUUUAAAGGUUUUCCUUCCUUCUUUCCCUCCCUCCUCCACCUUUUUUUUUUUUCUUUUUUUUUUAAGAGAAAUAUCACAGUAGGAAACUUGACCAAUGCUUCAAGAGAUUGAAGUGGAAUUCACUUGGAAUCCAAUUUUUGGAUUAAUAGUGGAAAUGGUUGGGACCAAACUAUAAACCUAAGAAGACAGGGCAACCCACAAUUAACUGCUAUUAGAAAUAAAAAUAAAUUGACCAUACCACUUGUUAAUGCCCAUAAGUACAAUGAAAGUACUCACAAUUGGCUCCUUAUCAAACCUCUCAAAUCCAAAUCCAUAUUUAGUUCUCUCAUCAAGGUCCAAUGACACCAGUAAGAACUGGAAACACUGGUAAAAAAUUAGGUUUGCUGUAAAGACUUUUGAAACUUUUUUUUUUGGUCUCUCACGCAACGUGUAAGUUCCUGGGCCAGAGAUCAAAAACAGCACAGCAGUGACCUGAGCUGCUGCAGUGAUAAUGCCAGAUCCUUAAUUUACUGAGCCCUAGGGAACUUCUUGAAAGUAUUUUUGAUGCUAAUAUAAAGGACAAACUUUAACUGUAUGUAUAAAUCUAGUCAUGAUUUUGUCAUGUGAUCUUUUAAGAUCUGUAUAAACUAUGACCUAAAUAUUCCACAAUAUCUGUAUUUCUGCUUGUGCAAAUGUAUUUAAAAAUGCCAAAAAUUCCUCAGUCUUGAGGGUCACCUUAUUGCAGUUAAUUUACUCAUUACAGACAUUCUGAGGAAUCUGUCUGUAAUCAUUAACAAAUAGAGUAAGGAAAAUACAGUAGAAGUGUUUCAGAGGAAGCAAUUAAUUAGACAGUAAACUUUUUUUUUUUUUUGGUUUUUUUGCUAUUCCUUGGGCCGCUCCUGUGGCAUAUGGAGGUUUCGGCCCUAAAGAGCAAAAAAAAAAAAAAAAAAAAAGAAGAAGAAGAAAAGGGUUUAUCAGUACAGGACAUUUCUGAGAUUUGUGUGAAAUACAAGGAGGAAGGCAAAGGAAUGCCAAGCUGAGAACUUAAUAGCUACAGUUCUAAAAUCAAAGGAAAAGUGGGGAAGGGGAUUAAGACCUCCUUCUUCCUCCUCCUCUAAAUAGUAGCAGAUAUCAAGCUUCCAUCAUCAAGUUUGGGGGGGGGAGUUUUCUUGUCCCUGUCUGGUCAAACUGGGACUGUCAUGGCACAAUGGAAAUGAGCAAAAAGGUGAUAAUACACACUAACAUAUGGGAAAUCAGCUCAGAUUUCAGUAGACUGCCACUUUUCCCUAUGUUUUUGUUUUUAGUGUGUACAGAGAAGCAUGUCCUAGGAAUCACUGGCUUACUAACCUCACUAAACAAGAUGUAGGUCUCAUUUUACUAUUCCUUUAUCAUCUGGAGGCAUAUUUCAUGCUUCUGUUCCAUGGUUUUGCUGCUAAGCAAGCCUGCUUUCUUGCAUUACCAUUAAUUUAUAUACCCCCCAAUUUUUUUUUUUUAACAAUCCCCUAAUAGGAUCAACUACUUAAUCACCUGUUUCUGCCCUUUAGUCUGUAACUAUCAUAAACUGUCCUCCUCUUUAUGUAAAUCAAAGUUUAAAUACAUUUUGUCUGUUUUAGAUCAAGGGAAAUUUUCCCAAAACUAAGUAUUUCAGGCAACUAUUUUUAAAAAAUAAGCAUUUUCCUAAUCUUACAAGUAUUUUUUAAGAUACUUAUUAAAAGUUAGCAUUUUUCAGGAGCUCCCGUCCGUGGCUCAGCUAAAAGGAAUCCAACUGGGAACCAUGAGGUUGCGGUCCGAUCCUGGGGCUUGCUCAGGUUAAGGAUUUGGCCAUGUGGUGAGCUGUGGUAUAGGUCAUAGACCCAGCUUGGAUCUGGCACUGCUGUGUCUGGGGCACAGGCCCAGCAGCAACAGCUCAGAUGCGAACUCCACCCUGGGAGUGGGGUUGGGUGUGACCUUAAAAAGCAAAAAAAAAAAAGAAAGGGAUUUUCCCAAUUAAUAACAACUGGAGGUACAGCGCAGAUGAUAUUGCAUAAAGUAUCACACAAGAGUUGCCCGUUUUAAGAAAAGUAAUUUACAGAGGCCUAAUUUUCCCCACAAUUGUAUUAUUUACAACCUGACAAAAGCAAAAUAAGAAAGUAUUGUUACGUUUUGUUUUCUAAGGCUUACAGCAUCUCCAGUUAGGGUCUUAAAUAUUUCUUCGCAGCUUGGAUCACCCGCCCAUUUUGGGAUCAGUGCGGGAGGCACCAACAACGUUUGGAGUUCUAGCUGGUCAGCCAGACUCCCCGAAAGGCUGCUGGGAUCUGGUGGGUGGGCUGUGGUCUCAAGGUUCUUACCUCUCCCUUUACGACCCGGGAUAGGAAACCCGGCAGGAAGAGUUAGUUAGGGCCGCGUGGUUAUUAUUUUCCAAAGGUGCCAAAAGUCUUGUCUUCCAGGAUCGGAGGUUCAAGUGUUACACUUGUUAUGAUCCAGGUGGUGAGAGUUUCCAUAAUAUUACAACGCCUGUGUCAGUGCCGCAGCUGAAAAAGAGCUAUGAGUCCUCCAUCUGUGCUGUCGUCUGCCGCAGUAUCUUCUAGGUUUCAAUCUUCUCCAUCAUUCCCUUCCUCAGCUUGUUAUUAACGAGGCCGAGACACUCCAUUUUUUACAACGAUGUAGAACAGUUUGCUGUACAUGUUGCACACCCUUUUCCAAAUCAGCGAGUCCGCUAACCAAUUUACCCACGAAAGUUU